UCUCAGAACACAUCGAACAAAUAAUCCUAACAGAAUGUACGACAGCUGUUGGAGUCGGUCCGACUUUUUGUCAACAUACUGGCCCAGUUUGUUCUGGGUGUUUGCACAGCUGGCAUUAGCACAUAAAACCUGCGAUUUACAGCUAUGAUUUUUAAUAGCUAACUCUAAAAUUAAUAUUGUGUCAAUUUACUCGAUCUUAUUUAGUUUCAACCCCUUCAUAAGGUCUGGGUGUGUUAAGCUCAAAAAUGAAAAAUAAAGCACCAUAAAAGUGUCCAUAAAAGCAUCAUAAAACUGGUUCAAGAAGAGAGAGAAACUUAGGUUGUUAUUCACUAAUAAUGCUCACCUCUACAGAUGCUUUGAAAUGAACAAAAAAAGAAUAUAGCACACAAGUUAUAUGGACCACUUUUAUGGAUAGUCCAUUUACACCAAGAGCAAAUAGCCCACCUUUUUGGCAAAGGCUAUUUACAUUAAAGGCCCAGGUAUACUUCAUUUUCCACAUUCAGCUUCGUCAAACAGUUGAGGGGGCAGAACUUUCAAAGUAUUUUACUUUGGCCGUGAGUGCGGAAAGACGCAUUCGGCAUGUGUGCACUAUCUAUUUGACUUAGGGUGACCACCAUCAAACAAACCAAAUGUGGGACGAUUACUAAGUUUGUGUGGGACAAUGUGGGACAUGUUUCCAACACUAAAACAUAACCUGAAGCUGUUAUAUAAUGUCUUUCUAACUUAAUAACAACAUUUGUAUUCUGGCUUUCAGCUGAUAAAAAUACUUUGUUCUUUAGUCCCUUCCAGAAAACACCAUUACAUCACAAUGUAUGUCUUUAUUUUACAUGUCAUUUAAAUUAAAUAUCACUGACCCUAAAGGCAGCAGGCAUCAUGCAGAUAACUAUUUUUGAAUUAGGUGACCAGAUUUCUGAAAUGAAAACAUGGGACAUUUCCUAUUUUAGGUGAACAAAAAUCUCAUUUGUUAUUAUCUAUUUAAAAAAACAGGGACAAUACAUUUUUUAAUGUUUUUGUUUUUAAUUGUUGUGGGUUCCUUAUAGGCUAUUAUUACAUGAAUAAUUAUGAUUUAGUUUUAUUAUUAGGAUUUUUGCUCUGGUUUAAAUACAACCAAAAAAACUUUUACACGAUUAAUAGUAAUCACUAUAAAACCAGUUCUAAACAAUACUGUUAUAGCCUUACAUUCGUGUGACUUUACAAAAACAUAUUACAUUUUAAAAAUAAAACAUAAAUAAGCCUAUAAGAAGAUAAAUAUUUAACAAAUAUGUUUUAACAUUAUUGAAUUUAAUAUUUUAAUUGUCAAAUGCUGUUUUUAGCUACUGUACAGAAAUUAGGUUACAACUGUUUUAACUUUUAACUAAUUUUAACUAUUAUUUAGCAUUUUAGCAUUAUUUUAAGCAAAAGGUAUGUGUAUUAUUAUUUUUUUUUUUUAUUUAUUCAUAUCUGAGUGUACCUUCACCACGUAACGUUAGUUAAGACGUGUGUGUGGAAAUUGCUGCGUUAUGACUGCGGAACUUUUGUGGACGUUUAAAAUUGUGCAAAACAAUCUCACACCCUGUUGAGGCCCUGUUAUAAAACAUACAAACAGUUUGAAUAGUUAGUAUGUUACUAACCUUGAAACUGAUAACGAUGUUUAUUUUGAUAUUCGACGAUAAUGGCGCUUUGCUCUGGUCCAGAUCCAGAUUACGUUCCUCAUGAAGUAGCGGCGCGCGCGCGACCAAGUGUAGCUGCACACAGCCCCCUCUGUUGGAGAACAUGAUCACUACACAAUUGCUCCAGCAGGCUGCUGUAUGCUCGUCGGAACAGACCACAGUCUAUGGAACAGACUGAUGAAAAUGCGGGACAUUUUCGCAAUAUGCGACGUGCGGUACAAGGAGUUAAAAUGUUGUGCGGUACAACGCAAAACGGGACGGGUGGUCACCCUAAUUUGACUUUGUUUUCAUGCGCUCAAGUCACUUGCACGUGCACUGACACAAAAAGGGCUGCACGCGAACAAUGUUCGCGGAUGUCCGCGGACCCUCCCGAUGAUGAAAAUCACAUCACGCGGACAGUGUGCAGACCGCCCGCGAAAUGCGGAUGGCCGAAGUAUAGGCCUAUUUAAUGUUUGUAAACAUUCGGGAUGCGCGCGCAUCAUGGUUGCAGAAAACCCGGGAGUGAUAACCAGUACGACUAGAGAGUUACGACGAAGCGGUUCAAAGUAGUUUCACCCAAGUACGAAUGACUGAAGAACCUAAUGAUGCAGCACUGGUCUUUGCGGUUCCGGCGCAUGUUGAAGAAACAGCUGUCUGCGAUGGCGAAGACGUGUGGAGGGAGAUCACCCAACCGCCGGUCUGUGUACUGCUCCACCUGCUCCGGAGUGUAGAUUGGCAGCAGCUGAAAUCAUGCCAAAGAUGACAUUAGCAACACUUCUAGAGUCAAGAGCACCAGUUCUUCACCAUCAGUGGAAAGAUCUUACCUUUCCCUCAUCGUCGAUGAGCUGAAGUUGCCCAGCGUCUGAGAGUCUG